rnacentral:sRNA from 1 species
GGUGGCGGUACACGCCUGUAAUCCCAGCACCUGGGAAGCAGAGGAAGGCAGAUCUCUGAGUUUGAGGCCAGCCUGGUCUACAGAGUGAGUUCCAGGACAGCCAGGGCUACACAGAGAAACCCUGUCUCA